UCUAGUCAACUGAAGUCGCGCUGGUGGGAUCGAUCGACAGAACAGAACUCAUCCCCGUCUCCCCGCUACCUGGCAGCAGCGCCACAGCGGGAUCCCGGCGGCGGUCCCCGGCGCGGCAAGGGCAGCCCGCGGCGGCGCCGACCCCCGAUGGCCACAGCGACGACGGAGGCUACGGCACCCGGCGGCGGCCCCGCAGCCCCGCCGCGGCGGAAGCCCCGAGCACGGCAAGAAGCGACGGCGCCCAACUGCGGCCACACCGGCGGUCGAGAUGGAGCCGGAAUCCAAUCCACGCUUCUUCACCGAGAUUUUUCCUGAGGAACAGACUAAUCUUGAAUGGGUUCCUAAUGGGUAAGUCCUCUUCCAAUUCUCCCUAGGGUUUGGAAUUCCCCAUAGGUUAGUGCUGACUAUAGGCUAGUAUCUGUUAAUUCGGCUGCUAUGUGUGCACUUGUUUGUGUAGGAUGGAUCCCAGUUUGUCCUAAAGGCUUGCUGUGCGAGUAGGUGCUUAUAUCAAUUUUACUGAUGAUGGACCUCGUGUGUAUUGUGAAGCUUGUAACAUUCCUAAGAUUUUAGACAGAGAUAGUACAAAUUUGAAUGAUUUGGUAACUGAAAUUGAUUCAAAAAUUAAGCUAGGCUCUAAACACAAGUUGUGUGUCAUUUACUGGGACAAAGUGACUCGCAGUAAUGGUGGAUAUUGAAUAUGAGCAAGUUGGAAAGAAAAUGAGAUUUACUAGGAUGUUUGUUGCACUAAAAUCUUGUGUGGAUGGUUUUCUAAAUGGUUGUCGUCCUUUUCUUGGUGUGGACUCCACGCACUUGACUGGGAAGUAAAAGGGUCAAUUUGCAUCUGCGACCGCUAUUGAUGGGCACAAUUGGAUGUUUCCAGUAUGCUAAGCUAUGUUUGGCUCGGAGACAACUGAAAAUUGGUCUUGGUUUUUCAGCAGACUUGAGCAAGCUAUUGGAUCACCUCGUGGCCUAGUGCUCAUGACAGAUGCAGGCAAAGGAAUUGAUUCUACUGUCAUUCAAAUAUUCAAAAAUGGAGUUGAACAUAGAGAGUGCAUGAGACACUUAGUUGCGAACUUCCAGAAGCGCUUUCGAGGACCGGCGCCGAGAUCCUCACGAAAUGCUAGGGGAAAUCAUCUAUAUGGAUGUUGGCUGUGGUCGAUCUUCUUGCUAAUUGUACAAAACUUUCUAAAAAGUUCGAAAUUGCAAUGGUGAUUUUAGCCAGGAGGACAAGUUCUAGGCUUCCGGGCCUCAACUUUCCGGUA